AACGCUGGCGGCGUGCCUAAUACAUGCAAGUCGAACGGCUUUUCUAUGGAAGCUUGCUUCCACUGAGAAGAUAGUGGCGAACGGGGUGAGUAACACGUGGGUAACCUGGCCCAUAAGAGGGGGGAUAACAUCCGGAAACGGGUGCUAAUACCGCAUAGUUUUCUUGAUCGCAUGAUUGAGAAAGGAAAGACGGCCUUUGUGCUGUCGCUUAUGGAUGGACCCGCGGCGUAUUAGUUAGUUGGUGAGGUAACGGCUCACCAAGACGAUGAUACGUAGCCGACCUGAGAGGGUGAUCGGCCACAUUGGGACUGAGACACGGCCCAAACUCCUACGGGAGGCAGCAGUAGGGAAUCUUCCGCAAUGGACGAAAGUCUGACGGAGCAACGCCGCGUGAGUGAAGAAAAGGGUUUUCGGAUCGUAAAACUCUGUUGUCAGAGAAGAACAAGUUGGAGAGUAACUGCUCCAGCCUUGACGGUAUCUGACCAGAAAGCCACGGCUAACUACGUGCCAGCAGCCGC
rnacentral:rRNA from 1 species